rnacentral:lncRNA from 1 species
CAUAAUUUCGAUCAUCUUCCUUUUCCUCCGUAGUUGUAUUUUGUGGAAAUCUGGUAGUUGGUAGAAAUCUAUUUGAUUCAAUCUCAUCUGAAGCUGUAAAAUUUUUAGUUUACAAUCCACCUUUCUCAUUUCGUUUUCUUUCUCUUUUGCACUCAUUUUUGGUGGUGGAGCAGAUAACUGAGACAGAAUGGUGAGAAACAUGAUUACAAAUCUUCAAUUGUAGAGUUUCUCUUUGUUUAAUUUCUUACCUUAUGGAGUUUCUCUCUGCCUAUUCUUAUGUAUAUA